rnacentral:rRNA from 1 species
CAGUCGCCGCGGGAAUACGUAGGUGGCAAGCGUUGUCCGGAAUUAUUGGGCGUAAAGGGCUCGCAGGCGGUUUCUUAAGUCUGAUGUGAAAGCCCCCGGCUCAACCGGGGAGGGUCAUUGGAAACUGGGAAACUUGAGUGCAGAAGAGGAGAGUGGAAUUCCACGUGUAGCGGUGAAAUGCGUAGAGAUGUGGAGGAACACCAGUGGCGAAGGCGACUCUCUGGUCUGUAACUGACGCUGAGGAGCGAAAGCGUGGGGAGCGAACAGGAUUAGAUACCCCUGUAGUCCCUGUCUCUUGUAC